CUGGGGGCGUGUCUACACUGACGUUGGUCAUGUGAUGCGCAUCUAGGAAGCAGCAGUCAGAAAACAGCUUCAGCUGCGGCUGGCAGUGCCGUUCUGUGAGGAUGGCUGGCAGGGACAUGACACAGAGGAGACUACCAGCUCUGCUGCUGCUGUUUUGGAUGCUCACUAAUUUCUGUGAGUCCACUGUGUAUUUAAAUGUUCCCGAAGCUAUAAUUUUGCAGCAGUACUCUCAAGCCAACGUCACAAUUACAUCAAGGUAAAGAU